rnacentral:tRNA from 1 species
UGGCUCAGUUGGUGGAGCAUUUGACUUUUGAUCUCAGGGUCGUGGGUUCAAGCCCCAC